UGAUAAUGAGAUGUCGUUCUUAAAAUAAACAUCACAUUUAGAAAACGAAUUUGCCUUUCCCAACAAUUAAAGUUCAUGUUAAUUUUUCUCUUAGACAACAAAUAAGAACCUAAACACAACGUUAUAAAAGGUAUAUAGUAUAGUCAAUUGUUAAAUGUUAAAAUAAAAAGGAGUUUAGUUUGUCCCGCACUCAAAACUGGCAUCACUGUCUCCCAAGAUGGCGAAUAAGACAGGAGUUGAACUGGUAAUAUUAGCCACAACCACAUCAGGUCGAAAUGAAAACGUUAUCAAGCGACAGACGCGCGUUUGCAGUAACAAGAUGAAACGGGGACAUAGGCAAAAUUAGCUGCGUUCGCCAGCGAAUUUGCAGGCCAAUCAUCACCUGGCCUCACCCCCUCCUCAACGGCCCAUCUCAUCGUUUUCGAAUGCAAAUCGCAUGAGCUAACAAGCUGCAAUCGUUGCACAUCCCACAUGCAAUUGGCAACUCAUAACAACCAACAUGCUCUCAGU